GGAGAGUAGAGGAAAGACAGGAGAUGGUUGUUGGCAAGGGCAGGGCGACCGUCCGGCCGAGGCCCGACGUGCUGGGCUGGGGGGUGGGCGGUGCCCACUUGAAGUUCAAGGUCAUAAACUUAACUGGAGCCAAUCCAAAUCCACUGCCCAAGCAAAAGCGUAUCUAAGAAAAAGAAAAAUAACUCGAAGCCUCCAAGACACAUAAAAUCCAGAAUGGACUGACAACGGUGAAGAAGGGUAGAGCUUUUCAGAAAGAUGACCCUCGAUUCAGGGCUUAGCCAUUCUUGUACAUGGAGCCAAGUUCAUUUUACCCGCAACUGACUUACAAGUGUCUCAUAACUCUGGACUCGUAACGGACACCACAAAAGCCCGUUCAAUGUCCAGUUGCUGGGAUGAGCCUAGUGGACAAAACGUCAAGCCAAUGGCAUGAGGACUGUGGUUUCAAUCAAGACCUGUCCCCCCAGAGCAGGGCUGCCCCAGCCCAUCCAUCUGGCAUCUCCGAGUAUCGGCAUCUUCUCUGAAAAUGAGAAUCAGAAGGUGUGUGAGCAAAGUUUGUUGUGUUAAUCGAAAAUAUGUUAAUUUUCUGCAUUUCAAUAACUUCAAGCUUAGCCUGAGAACCUUCCAAGCUGUAGAAAACCUCCUUGACUAAGAGUCCACCUGCACAAGGACCUCCGUCCUUCUGAACACAAACGAGCUGGAAUAGACCGUAAAGAAGGAGGGGGACCCUGGGGCCAGGAAGCUGGUCCUUCACAAGUAGGUCAGUGAUGGGGAUGCAGCUGGGGGCACAUGACACGAUGACAUUUCAUCUGGGUCUGAAAUACUCAGGCCCAGGCCCCCGAGAGUCCUGCAAACAGCGAAUCAGAAGGACCGCAGAGACUGAACAGGUGGCUCUUGGCUGCUUGGAUGAGGGAGGGGAGAGGAGAGAGAAGAUGCUGGGGGCCACCCCAGGGGCCCUGCGCUGGAGACAGGUCCCGGGGCCCAGACUGUCUCACCCGAGAUGCAUCUUCCAUAACCUCCUUGGCAAGUCAGUCCUGAGCAUGAGCCUAGAGAAACCCCUUCACCAGGCCUGGCGUGGAGAAGGCCCUUCAAAGCCCCCCUCAGAAGAACGAGAAGCAUCCAAUGCUCCAUCAGUGGUGCCAUUACUAAUCAAAUUUAAAAGGAUUAAUGAGGGACCUCCCGUCAUGGCGCAGCGGACACGAAUCCGACUAGGAACCGUAAGGUUGUCGGUUCGAUCCCAGGCCCCGCUCAAUGGGUUAAGGAUCCAGCGUUGCCAUGAGCUGUGGUGUAGGUCGUGGACGCGGCUUGAAUCUGGCGUUACUGUGGCUGUGCCACAAGCUGACAGCUAUAGCUCCGAUAAGACCCCGAGUCUGGGAACCUCCACAUGCUGCAAGUGUGGCCCUAAAAAGACAAAAAGACUAAAAUAAAAUAAAAAUAAAACAAAAUAAAAUAAAAAGUUUAAAAUAAAGUAGGAAAGCCUCUUGGAGGAAAGAAUGAAAGAUCUGUGUUAUAGUGACAAUGACAGAAAUGAAAAGCAUUUUGCCAAGAUUUUGCACCUGUGACAAGCCAGGCCAAGUCACAGACUUCGAAAAGAAUGGGCUCCUUUGGACGGGCGUGUCUGCACACCGAGGUCUAACCACUGGGGCAGUUCUACCCUAUUAGGUGAAGAAGAAACCCCCUCAUCUUGUUGUGGCUUGUGCCGCCCUGCAGGGCUGGGAUUGGGCAGAGAAAGCCUGUGUUUACGUGCGACUUUAAUUUGAUUUACUGUCCCUGACAAGCCCGCCUGAACCCAGCGCUCUGUCUCAGCAGGGUCCCUGCCUCGCCUCUCCUGCUCUGCAAGAACUCGAAAGCAGGAGCUGGCAGGUGGAUGCCGAGGGGGACUUCGCCUCCCUUCAUGCUUGCCCAGGGCAAGUGGAACCAAGCCCGACUGCUUCAGAACCUUUCCUGGGCACGGGCUAAAGGCGCUUGGUGUCACGGUGUCACUGGAGGUGGCCUGAGGGGCAGACAGAUUCACCAGCGAUGGCUGCAUCUUGGGAGCUCAGCUCUGUGAAGCGGCAGUGUCAGCCCCGUGCGAGCUCCCCGCCAUCUGGGGAGGGGACACUGUGCUUGGAAAGUCAGAAGACAGGAAAGCAUCUGCGCCCUCCUCCUCCCGAGGCCCUCAGUGUCCUGCCUCCUCUCUGAGGCUGUCUGUGUUCAAACCUGCCCUGGGCCCUGUCACCGGAACAAAAGAUGGAAUUUCGCAUUUCUACCUCCUCAUUUCCUAGAAUUUCAGCUGCCUUCAUGGUUCUCC
rnacentral:lncRNA from 1 species